rnacentral:rRNA from 1 species
CAGUCGUACCUAUGGGUAAUCAGCCUUUUGGGUGUGAUUUUGUGGAGCGUGAGGAGUUAAACGCCUUCAUGCCUGCAUAUUCGUGCUCAUGGGUGUACUUGCUCGUAUGGUUGGUUAACAUCAAUUUUGGUGGUCAAUAAAUGACUGGAGGAAUGUAGCUUCGAUCU